rnacentral:rRNA from 1 species
CCUACGGGUGGCAGCAGUGGGGAAUAUUGGACAAUGGGCGAAAGCCUGAUCCAGCCAUGCCGCGUGUGUGAAGAAGGCCUUCGGGUUGUAAAGCACUUUCAGUGGGGAAGAAAGCCUUGGGGCUAAUACCCUCGAGGAAGGACAUCACCCACAGAAGAAGCACCGGCUAACUCCGUGCCAGCAGCCGCGGUAAUACGGAGGGUGCGAGCGUUAAUCGGAAUUACUGGGCGUAAAGCGCGCGUAGGCGGUCUGAUAAGCCGGUUGUGAAAGCCCCGGGCUCAACCUGGGAACGGCAUCCGGAACUGUCAGGCUAGAGUGCAGGAGAGGAAGGUAGAAUUCCCGGUGUAGCGGUGAAAUGCGUAGAGAUCGGGAGGAAUACCAGUGGCGAAGGCGGCCUUCUGGACUGACACUGACGCUGAGGUGCGAAAGCGUGGGUAGCAAACAGGAUUAGAUACCCGGGUAGU